UACGUAGGGGGCUAGCGUUGUCCGGAAUCAUUGGGCGUAAAGAGCGUGUAGGCGGCUCGGUAAGUCCGCUGUGAAAGUCCAGGGCUCAACCCUGGAAUGCCAGUGGAAACUGUCGAGCUAGAGUCCGGAAGAGGCGAGUGGAAUUCCUGGUGUAGCGGUGAAAUGCGCAGAUAUCAGGAGGAACACCAAUGGCGAAGGCAGCUCGCUGGGACGGUACUGGCGCUGAGACGCGAAAGCGUGGGGAGCAAACAGG
rnacentral:rRNA from 1 species